rnacentral:rRNA from 1 species
AAUCAACGCUGGCGGCGUGCCUAACACAUGCAAGUCGAACGCGAAAGUGGAGCAAUCCAUGAGUAGAGUGGCGAACGGGUGAGUAACGCGUGGGUGACCUACCUUCGAAUGGGGGAUAACGUCCCGAAAGGGACGCUAAUACCGCAUAACAUCCUGCCUUUGAAUAGGUGGAGAUCAAAGCCGGGGAUCGCAAGACCUGGCGUUUGGAGAGGGGCCUGCGUCUGAUUAGCUAGUUGGUGAGGUAACGGCCCACCAAGGCGACGAUCAGUAUCCGGCCUGAGAGGGCGGACGGACACACUGGGACUGAGACACGGCCCAGACUCCUACGGGAGGCAGCAGUGGGGAAUUGUUCGCAAUGGGCGCAAGCCUGACGACGCAACGCCGCGUGGAGGAUGAAGGUCUUCGGAUUGUAAACUCCUGUUGCCAGGGACGAAAAGCUCCGACCUAACACGUCGGAGUCUGACGGUACCUGGUGAGGAAGCCCCGGCUAACUCUGUGC